GCGAAAGUGGCGGAACUGGUAGACGCGCUGGAUUUAGGUUCCAGUAGGUAACCCCUGUGGAGGUUCGAGUCCUCUCAUCCGCACCA
rnacentral:tRNA from 1 species